rnacentral:sRNA from 1 species
UUUUUGAGAAAUCCAAAGAGUAUCUCACUGAUGGAAAUGCUUUUAUAGAAUAUAGACGAUUAAAAAAAAA